CACAGAGCACACGGUGGUGCAAUGUGACCAGCGGUCAUGUGGACACAUGUUUGGAGGUGCGUGUUUAGUUUCGUGUGUGGUCAACAGUCAGUGGGUCAGGAUCGAGUGGUACAGACCGGGGACUCUGACCCGCAGCUCUUCUGAAGUCUGGACUUGAUCGCCCGCAGUCGCCUGGCACCUGAACCUCCUGUCUUGAGGACUUUGAAAGGCUGACCGGUUGCAGCUGUGUGUCGCAGUGUCCCAGGAGAAAACACCGCAGUGACACCGUUUUGCCAGGCAUGAGGUUCACCUCAGGGGCGGCUGAGGGGGCUGAAACCAAGAAAUAAUGUAUGUUUUUUGUGUGUUUUUUUUCUGUCUUGGCCUUAUCAGGCGAAAUGGAUUAUAUAACCACCCACACAGCAAUGCAGCUUUAAUCUUCA